CCACAAAUAAACCAUGUGCAUACUUUUUUUCUGAGAUCUGUUUUGGCUAGAUGUGCAAUGGCACAAUCUUGGCUCACUGCAACCUCCACCUCCCGGGUUCAAGCGAUUCUCCUGUCUCAGCCUCCCAAGUAGCUGGGAUUACAGACAUGCACCACCAUGGCUCAUAAUGUUUUUGUAUUAUUAGUGGAGAUGGGGUUUCACCAUGUUGGCCAGGCUGGUCUUGAACUCCUGACCCCAGGUAAUUCUGGAAAAAGAAAAACUGUGGAGACAGUAACAAGGUCAAUGGUGGCCAGAGGUUCAGGGCAAGAUAGGGAAGGAUGAAUAGGGAGAGGACAGGAUUUUGAGGGAGUAAAAUGAUUCUUAUGAUACUAUUAUGGUGGAUACAUGUCCUUAUACAUUUUGUCAAAACCCAUAGUGUACAACACAAGAGUGAACCCUAAUAUAAACUAUGGACUUUAAUUAAUAACAAUGUAUCAAUACUGGCUUAUCAGUUGUAAUGAAUUAUCUACAUGAAUGCAAGAUGUUGAUAAUAGGGAAAAUCGGGGAGGGGCAGAUGAAGGGGCAUAUGGGAACUCUACUUUCUGAUCAAUAUUUUCAUAAACCUAAAAGGGCUUUUAUUUUUUUUUUUUUGAGACAGAGUCUCGCUCUGUCGCCCAGGCUGGAGUGCAGUGGCACGAUCUCACUGUACUGUAACCUCUGCCUCCCAGGUUCAAGCAAUUCUCCUACCUCAGCCGCCCAAGUAGCUGGGAUUACAGGUGCCCGCCACCGUGCCCAGCUAAUUUUUGUGUAUUUUUAGUAGAGACAGGGUUUUGCCAUCUUGGCCAGGCUGGUCUUGAACUCUUGACCUCAAGUGAUCCACCCACCUAUGACUCCCAGAGUUCUGGGAUUACAGGUGUGAGCCACUGUGCCUGGCCCUAAAACUGCUUUUUUUAAAGACUACUAAUUAAAACAACAACAACAAAUAGAAUUCAGGAUAUAAGGUUUAAAAACAUAAUGAAAACACACUAGUUAGCCAUAUUUUUUUUAAUGCCUAUUCAGAGUUUAAAAGUGUCCCAGUAACAAAAGACUGCACAGCUUUGAGACAUUAAUUUAAACUGUACAAAUACAUAUAACCAUUACCACUAGGAUAAAUUACUCUUUAGAUUUUAACAUUUUUCAACAUCUUACAUCUGAACAGUUGACUCUUCUAUACAAAAAUAUCAUUAUUAUUUUAUAAUAUGCCUUUGUAUAAUGCCCACAAGAUGACACUUAUUACAAUAGCAGUUGUUACAAAGUCACAAAAUACAUAAAAAUCUCAGCAGUUGGUAACAUUAUUAUUCUUUAAAAAGAAUUUACAGUACUAAGGUCCAGUCCAGAAAGUGGCAGAUUUAAACAGAGUAGCCCAAAGUUCGAAGUGUCUAUUUAAAAUACCAGUUUGGAAAUAAACUAAGGAAAUAAUAUAUGUACUAUGUGAUAUCACUGCCCCAGCAGCUGAACGCACUUGCUUCAGAGCAAAUGUGAAGGUAUAUUCUGAAAGAAAUCAGAUUUGGAAAACAGGGUUUUACUCAUUUGCUUAUCAAACUCAAAAUAAAGAAAUUCAUCCUCUCAUUUGAUGGGGAAAAUCUGAAUUUAUGUUUAAAAGAUUAACUCAGUACUCUCUGAGGCUUUUUAAAUGUUAAAACCAAAAAUUCUAGUGUAGUAUUAUGUUGACAUCCAUUAGAAUUUCCAGUAGCUGGCCGGGCGCAGUGGCUCCUGCCUGUAGUCCUAGCACUUUGGGAGGCUGAAGCAAGUGGAUCACCUGAGGUCCUUUCAUUCCACUCUUUUUACUGGGCUUAAAAUUCUCAAAGUCAAAGCCACUAAAAAGCUAUCUAACAAAGUCAGGGACAAUGUGUCUACAAGGGCCAGUCAGGGCACCAUGUUUUCCAGAAAGAGCCCUUUAGUUAUAGCCAUUGGAAUAGAAACGAGCAUCUGUCUGCUAAAUUAGUGAGCUCACCCAUGUGGGCCACAGGUCAAACUGGUAGCAGGGGUAGAAGAGACAGCGUGGGAGGGGAGUAGAGAGCGGGGAGAGAGGCAAUAAGCCCCGCUUAUUCAGGGAGGGAAAAGGGAACGUGGCAUUAGGCUAAUGGGUGUGGCUCUGAGGGCAAGAAGUGAGAGCUUUGGGGAGUAACAAAAAGAGAAGCCUUUUUCCAGGUCAUGAUAUCACCUAAGUCCUAAAUGGUUUUAAAUGAAAUUGUGUCCAGGACAAUAUUUUGUAAAACUUUUUCAAGAGGGAAUCAUUUUGCUAAGAAGGGGGUAGUGUUGAGAUUUAGGAUUCCUUUCCUAGAUAUACUAGAAUUUCAGGACUCAAGUACCUUUGGUGAAGAACCUAACAGCUGAGAGGAGCCCAGAUCUCGUGGCAGGGCAAGAAGUGCUUUUGUGCCUUAGUGGGACCACCCCACACCUCACUGCCCUGCAAGAGCGGGAGGGAUAGUGAGCCUUGCAAUGCUUGCUCUGUGUUUAAAAACUGCAUCUGUCCUAUCAAGGACAUUUAACUUCUUGUAGAAAAUCUAUGCUAAAGGAAAGAAGUUUGCCUCUAGUUAUGGAUUUAAUUGAUGCCACUGUGAUACAACUUUUAGCAACAUAUAAAACUUGUGUGAGAUGCGGAUCAUAAUAGUACCUCCUGGAAUACAGCCCUGGGAGGAUUAAUGAGUUAAUGUACACAGAGUGCUUAAAACAGGAUCCUGCACUUCUAAAGUGAUCCUAAAGGGUGCUGUGUAGAACAGAAGUCACUCCUCGAAGUCCUUGUUAGUUUCAAGGCAGGGGAUAAGGAAGUAUUAGGGGAAGGAGAGAUUACAUGGGAGGGAAGACAUUGAUUUUCCUUCUCAAAACUUAAAGGGUAGAGGCCAGCACAGCACACUCUUUGGAAGUGGAUUAAGUUGGGUUUCUAUCCCAGCUCCACUAGCUGUGUGACCUCAGGAAAAGUUUCAUUGCAUGAUAGUUUUUCGAUUGGUUUAAUUAUGCUUUCUUCUAAAGAGAAGACAGAUGGAAAGAAAGAAUAAUAGUAAGGAGAAUGUUAUAGGAAAAGCAGAGAAAAAAUGGAUUAGAUGAUUAAUGAAAAGAUCCAGAAAGAGCCCUUAAAAAUGCAAAAAUGUCCCCAUUGUUGUCACAGCAUUUAUUUGAUGCCAACUGUAUAUUCCCUUGAGACUCAAAGUUGUUCUACUGUCAUUUAAUUGAAUUUGUGUAACUGGUUGGUUCAGUGAAUAUUAAUUUUAAUUAUCUGAAGAAAAAAUAAGUAAAUUACAGUGCUGCAGUGUAUGACACCGCAGCGACAUUAAAUGGAUAAACUGAGUUUUUAAAGAAUCUGGAAAACUUGUAAAAAGCCCAAAUAUAUUGAUGUCACAUCAGAAUAUCUCACUAAACUACUCACUUAUAAUGGUAAUUGUCAAAGUUUUUUGAUCCAAUAUCACCUACAUUAAAAAACAAACUGUACCUCUUCACACACUUUUAAGUUGAUAUUUAAAAUUUUUAAUCAUAAGUUUAACAGUUGCAAAGGAUGUUAUUUCUGACAUAUUGUAACUAUAGGCAUUUAAAAAAUAAAACUAUUAGUGAUUUUUUUUUUUUUUUUUUUGAGACAGAAUCUCGCUCUGUCGCCCAGGCUGGAGUGCAGUGGUGUGAUCUCGGCUCACUGCAACCUCCACUUCCUGGGUUCAAGCGAUUCUCCUGUCUCAGUCUCCUGAGCAGCUGGAUUUAUAGGCGCAUGCCACCAUGCCUGGAUUUUUUUUUGUGUGUGUGUAUUUUUAGUAGAGACAGGGUUUCACCAUGUUGGUCAGGCGGGUCUCGAACUCCGGACCUUGUGAUUCGCCCACCUCGGCCUCCCAAAGUGCUGGGAUUACAGGAGUGGGCCACUGCACCUGGCCAAAACUAUUAGUGAUUUUAUGUCCUCCAAUAUUGACAUAAAAAUACAUGAACAAGUUCCUUUUUGAUGCUUGGACAUUUCACAUUAAUUCUUUUUUCCCUUAAAAUUAUAUCUUUAUUUAUACCUCAGCUUCCAAAUUUUAUCCAAAUGUAAUCUUAGGCUUAAAAGUCUAAAAUUGGUCACUCUAAAAUAUGUGUAAAUUAAAACUUUUUUUAAUUUCUUGUAACCAUAAGGAUAUUAACAUACUGUACAAAGUUAUAAUUACAAUGAUUCAUUGUAUAUAAUUAAUCAAAAAAGUUGAGUAUUAUAUAUUUUGAUUACUAAACACGAAAAUUAAGUUUUUUGCAAACACAUCUCUUAAUGAGAAAGGUGGGGUUAUUUUCAAGUAGUUCAUGUAUCAACAAAUGAAUAUUUAUUGCUGGAAUCACAGCAUCAGGGCUAUUUUCUCUCUCUUUUCUUUUUUCUUCCUUUUUGGAGACAGAAGCAUUAAGAAAUCUUGCUAAUACAAAUAGAUAGUUGGGAACAAAAGCGGUUUUGUGAUAGCUUUGCCACUCUAUUCUUCAAACGCUCUUCAAAAUUACAGACCAAAAUUCAUAUACUGAUCUCAUAAAAAAAAAUUAAAAAAACUUUUUAAAUUACCUGUCAGCUAACAAUUCAAGUAGGUCCUCCUUCAAUUUUCUAAAUGCUGAGAACUGUUAAGACUCCUUGACUUUAAAAAGGACCUGUUCCUCAGUCAUCAAAUCAAAGUUACUUACUUUCUCAACAGUGACAUCAACAUACCAGAAUUUCCAUUUCAUUGGCACCCCAGAUAUUUUUACAUUUUGGGGAAAAAGAAAACACACCAUGGUAGCCAGUGAGAAGUCUUCUUUUCAGAAUAGAAACUCCUUGCUAGGGCAGACCCAUUUCAGGAAAGAUUCAGAUGGAGGUCGAGAAUUCCCUUAAAACUAGCUGUACUCAAGAAUUAGUGGGAAAACCUUUUUUUUAUUAUUGUACUUUUUAAUAUAGAGGCACAGUUCCACCAUGUUGGCCAGGUUGAUCUCGAACUCCUAGGCUCAAGGGACCUGCCCACCUCCGCCUCCCAAAGUGCUGGGAUUACAGGUGUGAACCACCAUGCUCAUCCAGCUACAAACAGUUUUAUUGAAGAGGCAGUGUUACAACUCCAUGACUGCUCCAGCAGAGCAGGGCUACCCAUAGGCAGAGUGUAGUGGAAAACCUUUGUGUAUCUCCCAAGUGCACAUGUAUCUUGGUUGGAAGAGCACUGCAAUAUAUUUAAAAGUAGACCUCUAUAAAGGAAAACCCCGUACAUGUACAUUUUGUAUUCUUGCGUUACCUGCAUUGCUCCUUUUGAAAGCAAGUUCUGCCCCAACGGGUCCCAGUGACUUGGGGAAUAACUGGUUGCUCCAAGUGUGGGGGUUUAUUUCCUUUCCACUGGCUAUCAAGGACACCUUCUUGGGAUUCACACCUGAGAAGAACAAAACAACCACUUCAAAGGUUAGAGCAGAUCAUAAACUUAAAGGAAACUUAUGUAAUACAUUCAAACAAAGACUAGAGACACCUUGGACAGGAGAAUGGAAAUAAAUCUAGGUGAAAAUGUAGCAGAUACUUGCUUUCUGAUGAACCCUAACAUGAUACCAAGCCCUUAGCACAACCACCUGGAAUGUUGACAGUGUACUUUAUAGGCAGAAGAUAUUUUCUACAAUAUAAUAAUAACACUUGAUGUUCUUGCUAAGGGUCUUGUAAAAAUUGAGAUGGCACAAAAAUUUUUCUUCAACAACACGACGUUUUUUUUGUUUUGUUUUGUUUUGUUUUGAGACAGGGUCUCUCUCUGUCGUCCAGGCUGGAGUGCCAUGGUGUGAUCUUGGCUCACUGCAGCCUCCACCUCCCAGGUUCAAGUGAUUCUUGUGUCUCAGCCUCCCGAGUAGCUGGGAUUACAGGCACCCACCACCAUGCUUGGCUAAUUUUUGUAUUUUUAGUAGAGAGGGGAUUUCACCAUGUUGGCCAGGCUGUCUCAAACUCCUGGCCUCAAGUGAUCCGUUCACCUUGGCCUCCCAAAGUGCUGAGAUUACAGGUGUAAGCCACCACACCCGACCCAACAUGACAUUUUCAUGUCACUUGUUUUGAGCGUAUAUUCUUGGCCCAACCCUUGGUGUAGCAGGGAAAACAGACACGUGACUAAGAACUCAGGAAAACCUUUGAAGUUCGGAGGUAUGAAGCUCCACCUGAAACGCUUAUUUGUAUAUGAGAUACAGUAAAAUGGAAACAGUUUAUCCCCUGUGCGCCAGAAAGAAGUCAUUGCAAAUGUACUUGGAAAAAGAACAGUUUAAAUUACUUAUGAUUUUCUGAAAUCUGUGAAAUGUCCAUUCAGCCUUGGGCCGUGAUACUAGUGGUCAAAGGGAGUUGUUUCAACCUGUUCUUAAGAGACUGAAAACUUCUUGAGCUUGUUUUCUUUUCACUGAUAAUUAAAUUAGAGUGAACUU
rnacentral:lncRNA from 1 species